AUAUUUACCUGGCAGGGGAGAUGCCAUGAUCACAUGGUUUUCCCAGGGUGAGGCUCAUCCAUUGCACUUCGGAUGUGCUGACCCCUGUGAUUUCCCCAAAUGUGAGAAACUGCAUAAUUUGUGGCAAUGGGGGACUACAUUCACACCACACUCUUCCCUG